rnacentral:rRNA from 1 species
CCUACGGGUGGCAGCAGUGGGGAAUCUUCCGCAAUGGACGAAAGUCUGACGGAGCAACGCCGCGUGAGUGAUGACGGCCUUCGGGUUUAAAGCUCUGUUAAUCGGGACGAAAGGCCUUCUUGCGAAUAGUUAGAAGGAUUGACGGUACCGGAAUAGAAAGCCACGGCUAACUACGUGCCAGCAGCCGCGGUAAUACGUAGGUGGCAAGCGUUGUCCGGAAUUAUUGGGCGUAAAGCGCGCGCAGGCGGAUUGGUCAGUCUGUCUUAAAAGUUCGGGGCUUAACCCCGUGAUGGGAUGGAAACUGCUGAUCUAGAGUAUCGGAGAGGAAAGUGGAAUUCCUAGUGUAGCGGUGAAAUGCGUAGAUAUUAGGAAGAACACCAGUGGCGAAGGCGACUUUCUGGACGAAAACUGACGCUGAGGCGCGAAAGCCAGGGGAGCGAACGGGAUUAGAUACCCUGGUAGUC